CGGGUGAGUAACACGUAGGUGAUCUGCCUUUUGGUGGGGGAUAACCAGAAGAAAUUCUGGCUAAUACCGCAUGAGUACAGCAAAUUUGAAAGUAGCUGUAGAAAGAAUGCCUCUCCUUGGAAGCAUUUACCGAAAGAUGAGCCUGCGGGACAUUAGCUUGUUGGUGGGGUAAUGGCCUACCAAGGCGACGAUGUCUAACUGGUCUGAGAGGAUGAUCAGUCACACUGGAACUGAGACACGGUCCAGACUCC
rnacentral:rRNA from 1 species